CCUACGGGAGGCAGCAGUGAGGAAUCUUUGUCAAUGGCCGUAAGGCUGAACCAGCCAAGUCGCGUGGAGGAAGAAGGAUCUUUGGUUUGUAAACUUCUUUUAUAGGGGAAUAAAUGUAUCCACGUGUGGCUAUUUGCAUGUACCCUAUUAAUAAGCAUCGGCUAACUCCGUGCCAGCAGCCGUGGUAAUACGGAGGAUGCGAGCGUUAUCCGGAUUUAUUGGGUUUAAAGGGCGCGUAGGUUGUGUUUUAAGUCAGCGGUGAAAGUUUGUGGCUCAACCAUAAAAUUGCCGUUGAAACUGGAAGACUUGAGUGUGUUUGAGGUAGGCGGAAUGCGUGGUGUAGCGGUGAAAUGCAUAGAUAUCACGCAGAACUCCGAUUGCGAAGGCAGCUUACUAAGCAAUAACUGACGCUGAAGCACGAAGGCGUGGGGAUCAAACGGGAUUAGAUACCCGAGUAGUC
rnacentral:rRNA from 1 species